rnacentral:lncRNA from 1 species
AGGUUCAAAGGGUUAUUAGGGAAUCGAGAAAAAGAGAUCAGAUGUGGGUGACAGAAUGUCUUAUGUGAGAAGCUCAGUUCAGUUAUUGGUUCAGAAAGAGCAGAGUUUAUGUACCAAGAUGAUCUCCUUAAUCAAAAUGGUCGGACAGCACCAUGAGACCGAAGGAUUAGCGUGGGAAACAGUGAGGCUCGAUGAGACGACAAUACCCUCACCUUUUGUAUAAGGAUUGGUAAAAGUUUAAAUUUCGAGGACGAAAUUUUUGUAAGAGGGGAAGAGUU